rnacentral:rRNA from 1 species
GAGAAGCUUGCUUCUCUGAUGGUUAGCGGCGGACGGGUGAGUAACACGUAGGCAACCUGCCCUCAAGCUUGGGACAACUACCGGAAACGGUAGCUAAUACCGAAUAGUUGUUUUCUUCUCCUGAAGAGAACUGGAAAGACGGAGCAAUCUGUCACUUGGGGAUGGGCCUGCGGCGCAUUAGCUAGUUGGUGGGGUAACGGCUCACCAAG